AAGCAUAUCAAUAAGCGGAGGAAAAGAAACCAACAGGGAUUGCCCUAGUAACGGCGAGUGAAGCGGCAACAGCUCAAAUUUGAAAUCUGGCGUCUUUGGCGUCCGAGUUGUAAUUUGCAGAGGGCGCUUUGGCAUUGGCAGCGGUCCAAGUUCCUUGGAACAGGACGUCACAGAGGGUGAGAAUCCCGUACGUGGUCGCUAGCCUCUACCGUGUAAAGCCCCUUCGACGAGUCGAGUUGUUUGGGAAUGCAGCUCUAAAUGGGAGGUAAAUUUCUUCUAAAGCUAAAUACUGGCCAGAGACCGAUAGCGCACAAGUAGAGUGAUCGAAAGAUGAAAAGCACUUUGGAAAGAGAGUUAAAAAGCACGUGAAAUUGUUGAAAGGGAAGCGCUUGCAGCCAGACUUGCCUGUAGUUGCUCAUCCGGGUUUCUACCCGGUGCACUCUUCUACAGGCAGGCCAGCAUCAGUUUGGGCGGUUGGAUAAAGGUCUCUGUCACGUACCUCCUCUCGGGGAGAUCUUAUAGGGGAGACGACAUGCAACCAGCCUGGACUGAGGUCCGCGCAUCUGCUAGGAUGCUGGCGUAAUGGCUGUAAGCGGCCCGUCUUGAAACACGGACCAAGGAGUCUAACAUCUAUGCGAGUGUUUGGGUGUCAAGCCCGAACGCGUAAUGAAAGUGAACGGAGGUGGGAACCCUUUGGGGUGCACCAUCGACCGAUCCUGAUGUCUUCGGAUGGAUUUGAGUAAGAGCAUAGCUGUUGGGACCCGAAAGAUGGUGAACUAUGCUUGAAUAGGGUGAAGCCAGAGGAAACUCUGGUGGAGGCUCGCAGCGGUUCUGACGUGCAAAUCGAUCGUCAAAUUUGGGCAUAGGGGCGAAAGACUAAUCGAACUAUCUAGUAGCUGGUUCCUGCCGA
rnacentral:rRNA from 1 species